GCCCUACCUCUGCUGGCCUUGGAUUUCUCCUCCUGUCCCUUCCCUGACAGCUCAGAUGAGGGGGCCGAGUGGUUAAGGUGAUGCUGCUAAUCCAUUGUGCUCUGCACCUGUGGGUUCAAAUCUCAUCCUCAUUGGAGACCUUCAGUCUUCUCUCUUCCAUUACAAACAACCCUUUUCCCCCUUUGGUACAAUCACAGACCAAACCAUGUUGCUUCCUGCAAACAAAAACCAUCUCAGGAACUCAGAACCUCCCUGCUUAAAAUACAAUGUCUAAAUACCAGAUUUCUAAAAGAAUUCACUAGUCCUGGAUGUCUUAGUUUUUAUCUCAAAAAGUAACAUCCUCACCAUCUCCCUCAAACACCCCAGGACUGCCACAAAUUAUUAAAAUGCCCCCAUCCUCAGCAAGACCACGACAGUGACCCACGGCGAGAGUGUCUAGGCCAAGCUGUUCUGAAGGAGGCAACUCAAACAUUUUCUCUCUGCUUCCCUUGGCAAGGUCUGACUGGGAGAACAAAAUCCCCCAAACUGAAAAUGUUCUGCUGAAAAACCAAUACUAGUCUGUUUCGGGACUUUGAUUUGAAAAUAUUAUUAUUAUUCUCUUCUGAUUUCUGAAUUAUUUCAGUUCAGUCUUUGUGCUCCAGGUAUCAAGUUGUGGGGGAGAGAGGCCAGGUCAUGAUGUCUCUUCCCCGCUUUCAGAGUUUCUUCCAACUUGCUGGGAAGCUGCUUUGCUAGGAUGUGAGUCAAGCAGUGUCCAUUGUCUCCAGGCUAUAUCGGAGAGUCUGCAUUGUACAUGCUCCUGGGAUAGUCCUUGGGAGUGUGGAUACCUUGAAUGGGCCAGCAGCGAGUCUGGUUCCUCCAUUGUGGCACAGGAAAGGCUGGUUGUGGGCAUUUCCCAACCUC